rnacentral:rRNA from 1 species
GACAGAGGUGCCAAGCGUUAGGCGGAAUCACUGGGCUUAAAGCGUGUGUAGGCGGGUCGUUAAGUACCUUGUGAAAUCCCUCGGCCUAACCGAGGAACUGCGUCCGAUACUGCGGUGCUUGAGGAUCAGAGGGGUGCAUGGAAUUUCCGGUGGAGCGGUGAAAUGCGUUGAUAUCGGAAGGAACUCCGGCGGCGAAAGCGAUGCACUGGCUGAUUUCUGACGCUGAGGUGCGAAAGCGUGGGGAGCAAACAGG